GCUUCCCCGCCCACUUUGAGGCCGAAGGGGCCGGGACGAGGACGGCGGAGCGAGGACGGCGGAGCGAGGCGCGCCGCUCCUUUGCCACCAGACUGCGUGCCCAGCUUCUCCGGGGUUCGUGUCGGCUGCCCGCCCGGCCAAGGAGCUCAGCGCCCGCGCCGCCCCCGCAUACCCGCGGAGCGGAGCGGAGCUCAAGCAACCAGGCACACCUGCCACUGGGGCGGCGGGGAAAGCGCUCCGGCCGACGACCACCCUCCACCUGGAUUUUCUCCUCUAGUAACCCCCCUCCCCAGCGCCUGCCGUCCCCACAUACUCAGCAAACGGAUCUCAGAGGGGAAAACGCCUGCUACCUGGACGCCACGGACACCAGCCCUAAGGCCCGCAGCUCCUUGGCAGAGGGCCCUCGUCCCCAUCACUGCCUCCGCAGAUCCCUCUGCCCCAUUUCCGAGAAGCAGGAACCGCUGGGCAAAAAGCAGACGCGUGCCCUGGGGCACUAAAACUGCAGCCCUGCCCCUGCAGGGGCCUCCAGGUGCUUCCACGUGGAGAAGCAGGCGUGCCUUUAACGAUCUCACUCACUCGGCCGCCAAGUUCCGAGAGAGACUGUGCGUCUUCUUCCAAGCACUACAGCCCCGGCUUGUUUCUGCUGGUGUGAGUCCGUCUGCCCCCCCAAGCCCCGCAUCGAGCCUUGCAGGGGCGCUGUCUACACUUGCUUCUUGCUCGUCUUCAGGUUUGCCCCAUAGGUGUCAUGAGUUUAGACACCAGACAGACGGAACGGAAACUCGCUUGAACAAGCGCUGUGACCUCUGGCUGGUUGUUUGUAAAGCAGGGCUCCCAUGCUCGGGCAAGGGGCUCACAGGCGGCCUCCUGCAAAGGGCCCCAAGUAGGAGCUGGAAUGGGGAGACCCGCCGGGCCAGGUUAGCUGAGAAUCCUCACAUGAGGCAGAGCCAGCAGCGGAUCUUUCCACAAGCAGGAGCUAGCUCGGACGAUGGGCCCUUGAGCUGAGGCGCACCUGCCACGUACGGGCGGAGUCAGGCCCUUGCCCUUCUCUGACCUCUUCAGCUAAAGCCAGAGGAAGAGGUUAAAGAAGACCGGCGCCAGCUGCCUGAAGUUCUCUACCCAACAGCGCAGCGCACACACAACACGCCCCCAGAGUCGGGGGACUAACAGCCCGCGUGGCUCACAGAGCAGGACGCUAACCAGGCGUCCAUGCCCCCCGCCCCGGGGGGGGGGGGGUACUGCGGCAGCAGCAUGAGCAGAACCCAGAGCCUUCCUGCCGCCUCCCCAGGGGACGGUGCUGAGGAAAUUUACAGACAGAAGAGCACAACCAGGACACUCGGCGGGCAGGCAGAGAAGGGGCCGGGUGGUCCGUGCCCAGGGUGGGGCCUGAUACCCGGCCCCGGGCAAGGUCCCCGGGGAUCCUGGACCCCAACUCAGACCCAGGUCAGGGGCAGAAGAGCAAGGCCGAGGAGGAGAGAGGAAGCCAGGGGGCAAAGGCGCCCCCCCGAGGAGCAGCCUGGAGGAGCUCCCACAGGCGCCCUCUGAUCCCGUGGCCAUGGGCGGCCCAGGCCCGAGGCUGGGUGGACGGCGCCGGGCGCACUGAGGAGAGCUACACACUCCAGCAGGUCCCUGUGUGGCUCCUCACCCUAUUCUAGGGCCCCGGGGUGCCUGGCACCCAGAGGCCGUAGGCUUCCCCCUUUGGAAGGUAUUAGCUAAAUGCAAAGGUCAUUACAAGACACAGCACCUACCCUUCUGAGGCUAGAACGCGAGUUCCCAGAAACAGAUGAAUCUAGUAUUUUCUCAUGUCCCUACCAAAAGCAUCAACCACUGUAUUCUCUUUGAAAAGCCUACGAAUUUUCAUGACCUUUACACUGUAUUAAGCCAGCUAACUUUCACAGGUAAUUGUAUGUUUUUGGCUGCGGCUGCAGCAUGUGGACGUUCCCGGGGUCAGGGAUGGAUCUGGUGCCACAGCAGCGACCUGAGCUGCGGCAGGGCACAGCCCUGGCAUCUCAGCAAGGCCGAAAGCAAGCUGGAAACGCCUUCCCCCAAAGCAAAACGGGCCACAGCACUAACGAGGCUUUGGCUCCCCUCGAAAGAAAACAGGCUACCUACCCUUCCUCACCACACCUGUCUAGCAGCAGGACAGAGCCUAGCUCUGUGCACCACCAUCAGAAGCCACAGCUCCAGGGCCUGCAGGAACCCUGCUGGUGGGUGGUGAGGGAGCAGGGCCUCAGAAGCAGAGCCCCGUGGCGUUCGUCUCAGCAGUUAAGGCAAGGCAAAGCAGCACCAUGGAAAACAGGCCAGAAAACAAAAAGCAAAAAUGGG